AGUGAACGCUGGCGGUAGGCCUAACACAUGCAAGUCGAACGGCAGCACAGUAAGAGCUUGCUCUUACGGGUGGCGAGUGGCGGACGGGUGAGGAAUACAUCGGAAUCUACUUUUUCGUGGGGGAUAACGUAGGGAAACUUACGCUAAUACCGCAUACGACCUACGGGUGAAAGCAGGGGAUCUUCGGACCUUGCGCGAUUGAAUGAGCCGAUGUCGGAUUAGCUAGUUGGCGGGGUAAAGGCCCACCAAGGCGACGCUCCGUAGCUGGUCUGAGAGGAUGAUCAGCCACACUGGAACUGAGACACGGUCCAGACUCCUACGGGAGGCAGCAGUGGGGAAUAUUGGACAAAGGGCGCAAGCCUGAUCCAGCCAUACCGCGUGGGUGAAGAAGGCCUUCGGGUUGUAAAGCCCUUUUGUUGGGAAAGAAAAGCAGCAGGUUAAUACCCCGCUGUUCUGACGGUACCCAAAGAAUAAGCACCGGCUAACUUCGUG
rnacentral:rRNA from 1 species